UGUGUUUUGGACCAAACAAAAAAAAUUGGAUAUGAUUGGUGUGGCACUUACCACAUCAGGACCUUAACAGGUCCGCCCCCUGCUUGCCUGAAAACACGGGUGAGUUGGUGUAGUUUGAGAGAUGGUAUGUAGAGUAAAAUUACUUUUGUGCUGCUGGCCCAGAAAAUAAGGUGGUGAUGGAUGUUUGUUUUAUGUGAGAUAUUGUUCAAAAACCAAUUCGUAAACUUUUGCGAGAAUUUCUCUCUCGGCAUUUAGCA
rnacentral:lncRNA from 1 species